UACGUGAGGGGCGAACGUUGUUCGGUGUCACUGGGCUUAAAGGGCGCGUAGGUGGCUGCGUAAGUAAGGUGUGAAAGCCCUCGGCUUACCCGGGGAAUUGCGCCUUAUACUGCGUGGCUUGAGGAUUUCAGGGGAAGGGGGAACUCCAGGUGUAGCGGUGAAAUGCGCAGAUAUCUGGGGGAAGGCCGGCGGCGAAGGCGGCCUUCUGGGAAAUUCCUGACACUGAGGCGCGAAAGCGUGGGGAGCAAACAGG
rnacentral:rRNA from 1 species